CCUACGGGAGGCAGCAGUAAGGAAUAUUGGUCAAUGGACGCAAGUCUGAACCAGCCAUGCCGCGUGAAGGAUGAAGGCCCUCUGGGUUGUAAACUUCUUUUACAGGGGACGAAAAAAGGGAAUUCUUUCUCACUUGACGGUACCCUGGGAAUAAGCACCGGCUAACUCCGUGCCAGCAGCCGCGGUAAUACGGAGGGUGCAAGCGUUAUCCGGAUUCACUGGGUUUAAAGGGUGCGUAGGUGGGCAUUUAAGUCAGUGGUGAAAUCUCCGGGCUUAACCCGGAAACUGCCAUUGAUACUAUUUGUCUUGAAUAUUGUGGAGGUAAGCGGAAUAUGUCAUGUAGCGGUGAAAUGCUUAGAUAUGACAUAGAACACCCAUUGCGAAGGCAGCUUACUACGCAAAUAUUGACACUGAGGCACGAAAGCGUGGGGAUCAAACAGGAUUAGAUACCCUGGUAGUCCACGCCCUAAACGAUGGAUACUCGACAUCAGCGAUACACAGUUGGUGUCUGAGCGAAAGCAUUAAGUAUCCCACCUGGGAAGUACGACCGCAAGGUUGAAACUCAAAUGAAUUGACG
rnacentral:rRNA from 1 species